GCGGACAGAAGGGAGCUUGCUCCCGGAUGUUAGCGGCGGACGGGUGAGUAACACGUGGGUAACCUGCCUGUAMGACUGGGAUAACUCCGGGAAACCGGAGCUAAUACCGGAUAGUUCCUUGAACCGCAUGGUUCAAGGAUGAAAGACGGUUUCGGCUGUCACUUACAGAUGGACCCGCGGCGCAUUAGCUAGUUGGUGAGGUAACGGCUCACCAAGGCGACGAUGCGUAGCCGACCUGAGAGGGUGAUCGGCCACACUGGGACUGAGACACGGCCCAGACUCCUACGGGAGGCAGCAGUAGGGAAUCUUCCGCAAUGGACGAAAGUCUGACGGAGCAACGCCGCGUGAGUGAUGAAGGUUUUCGGAUCGUAAAGCUCUGUUGUUAGGGAAGAACAAGUGCAAGAGUAACUGCUUGCACCUUGACGGUACCUAACCAGAAAGCCACGGCUAACUACGUGCCAGCAGCCGCGGUAAUACGUAGGUGGCAAGCGUUGUCCGGAAUUAUUGGGCGUAAAGGGCUCGCAGGCGGUUUCUUAAGUCUGAUGUGAAAGCCCCCGGCUCAACCGGGGAGGGUCAUUGGAAACUGGGAAACUUGAGUGCAGAAGAGGAGAGUGGAAUUCCACGUGUAGCGGUGAAAUGCGUAGAGAUGUGGAGGAACACCAGUGGCGAAGGCGACUCUCUGGUCUGUAACUGACGCUGAGGAGCGAAAGCGUGGGGAGCGAACAGGAUUAGAUACCCUGGUAGUCCACGCCGUAAACGAUGAGUGCUAAGUGUUAGGGGGUUUCCGCCCCUUAGUGCUGCAGCUAACGCAUUAAGCACUCCGCCUGGGGAGUACGGUCGCAAGACUGAAACUCAAAGGAAUUGACGGGGGCCCGCACAAGCGGUGGAGCAUGUGGUUUAAUUCGAAGCAACGCGAAGAACCUUACCAGGUCUUGACAUCCUCUGACAACCCUAGAGAUAGGGCUUUCCCUUCGGGGACAGAGUGACAGGUGGUGCAUGGUUGUCGUCAGCUCGUGUCGUGAGAUGUUGGGUUAAGUCCCGCAACGAGCGCAACCCUUGAUCUUAGUUGCCAGCAUUCAGUUGGGCACUCUAAGGUGACUGCCGGUGACAAACCGGAGGAAGGUGGGGAUGACGUCAAAUCAUCAUGCCCCUUAUGACCUGGGCUACACACGUGCUACAAUGGACAGAACAAAGGGCUGCGAGACCGCAAGGUUUAGCCAAUCCCACAAAUCUGUUCUCAGUUCGGAUCGCAGUCUGCAACUCGACUGCGUGAAGCUGGAAUCGCUA
rnacentral:rRNA from 1 species